rnacentral:lncRNA from 1 species
UCCUGCCUGUGGUCUUGUCAGCUGGGAAUCAUGUUCUCCACUCCACAGAUGAGAAAACCGGGACCUAGGAAACUAGGUAACUUAGCCAUGUAAGUCAGGGGCUGCCAAACUUGUUCUGCUAAGGAGCAGAGAGUAAAUAUUUCAGGCUUUGCAGGCCUAUGGCAGUCUCUGUCACAACCCCUCAGCUCUGCUCUUGUAGCAGGAGAGUAGCCGUAGACAAGACAAAAAUGCAGGAGUGCGCACCAAUAAACAGGUGCUGUGAACGUGAAAUUUUACAAGACAAAUCUCAUAGAAUUUUCAUGCGGCACAAAACAAUUUUCCUUUGAUUUUUCCCCCAACCAUUAAAAAGGGAGAAACAGUUCUUAGCUCACAGGCUAUACAGAAAGAGGCAGCAGGCCCCAGCUUGCCAGCUCCCCAUGUCAAUGGCAGGGCUUCAAUUCAAACCUAUAAAAUUUUGCAAGUGACUAGGCCAAAAAAAUCUUUGUAGAAUUUGGAAGUUUCUUAGGUCCUGUUACUGUCCUUGCUGCUAUUGAAUACUCUCCUAGAUAAAAAAAGAUAAACAUCAAGAAAAUGUCCCACUCACUCUUGGAAUGAUGAUAUCAGACACAGCAUGUGGAACUACUGACACUGUAUUUGUAGGUGGCUUGGAAUCAACUGGAUCGAUUCUGAGCAUGCAUGCAUGCGUGUGUGUGUGCGUGCAUGAAUGUGCAUGUGCGUGUGUGCAUGUGUACAUGUGUGUGCCGGUGUGUGUGCAUUUGUGUGAGUGCUGCGUGUUACAUGUUUGUGUGCUCGUGCGUGCGUGUGCAUGCAUGUGGGAGUGUGUUCUAAAGACAGACUUCAGUGAGAUAAUGACACAUCAUGAAAGAUAAUGUAUAGGAGGUGGUACACAGUACUAUCGUUGUGUUCACUUUAGAUAAAGAAAUUGAGGCUUAGAGAUUCAGCAACUUGUCCAGACUGACUUCUCCCAUGAGGGUAAACAAAAUUAAAACAUCAAUUUGCCCGGCUCCAGAACCAGCACCUCAGCCACCCCCUUGCACUGCUCACCGUCCUGGGAAAAGACAAUCGCUUUGCGCUGGCCAUCCAGUGAAGCCCUUGCCUGCCACCAGCUCCCUCUGAGUCACGGUCAGCCUUGGGUUCUCCCACCAGAACAAAACAGAACAAUAAACAGUCGUGACAAGAUAAAAAGGACCAGCAGGGACUCUUGAAAAUCAUGAGUGGAAAGCAAACCGACAAGACGGUCCUCCUCGCAGGCCUCUGCGCCGUGCUGACGGAGCGCAGACGCUUGCUGGGGUCUGAUGGCAUUCCUUGAUAAUUUGACUGUUGUAAGAGAAGCUGAUCCCGUGCAAUUUUUCACAUGCUGUCAUGUACCACAGCUGGAGUUUCACCCAUAAGACAAGCCAGGUGCCCUUUCUGACCCUGGAUGACAUGUCCACAGCCUGCUCCUCAGAACAACGGCACCGGCUUCUCCUCCCUGGCUUGUCCAAAGCCGUGUCCACUGGAAAGAGUCCCCGUCUCCCCCACUCAUUUCUGCCCUGCCCAACCCUGUGCCACCAGGGCCACAGCCAGCCGACUCAGGUUCUUCUCUCCCAUGUGAUUUAGUUGAAGUGGACAUCUGCAUGUGUUAUAAAGUAGGAUUCAGAAAAGUGAGUCUCUAUCCCCCUGUGCGUCCAUGUGUCAGCCUUGUGAAUUUGGACAAGACAUUUCAAUUUCUGAGACUUGGCUUCCUUCUCUGUAGAAUGAGAGGUUGUAAUCAUAUUUGUGAAAGCAUUUCAAAAACUUUAAAGGCCCAUGUCAGUAAGCAAAAAGUAUAUUAAACCCACAAAUGGUGAGUAGCUCAAAUUGCAACAGCACUCACCAGUCAGGGAGGCAAUUACCAGACUGAAUCUGUUUGGAACAAAGUCAUAAGACCCCUGGGCCAGCUCUCCAGCUGCAGGAAUGGCCGUCCACCAGCCCAGCAGCAACCCUGCUGUGGUCCCAGCGCUGCUGCUGCAGGCUCUCAGCUGCUUGCAUUGCUUCCGUUCUCCAAAAGCUUCCAAUGCUGAUAUGUGCAAGUUCUUCAAAACUUCGGCCUCCGCCUCUUCCCAAUCAGUUUCCACAGCAUUACUGACUCUCCCCGACCUACUGAAAACAGCAGUUGAGGGAGUUAUAUAAUAUGCAAUCAACACAUUAGGUUUAAGAGGUCAUGCAUUGUUGCUCUGUGUCUUUCAAGAAUGUUUGGUUACUCAUAAAGAAGAUAUGAUUUUAUCUCAACAAAUGAAGUAAUAAUGAAAUGUGUAUUUAUCUGUUCUUUGGGGCCCUCUUUUCUCUUCAGAUUCUGGCAGGCACGCUGUUGACCUAUGCACUUUACCCAUACUGCACACCCUCUGCAGUUCAGCACUGGCGUACAAAACAGAAACAGUGCAGAUUCCACGAAACAGCUUUGGUCCAUGGAGUGCACCUGAUGGGAUCUUCUCCACAUGGGGGCCAGGUGUCAGGAUUUGACAGGUGGGAUGGGACCAGAUAGUGAGCGAUCUUACCCUCAGAAAUGAUCUUAAAAGUCACAGAGAGUUAUUGAAAGGCUUAAUGCACCAGGUUAAUGUGGGCUUGUUUGCAUCUUAGAAAGAUUACUCCGAUGGUGGAGUAGAUAAUGGUUUGAGGGGAAUGACAAAGUCAGGAAGACCAGUUAGAAAGCUACUUAAAUAAUCCAGCAGAAGAAAGAAGACUGUUUAAACCAAGAUAAUGGGGCUGGAGAAGGGGGAGCAUGUUUGAUGGCCACCGAGGGAAAAACAGUUGAUGGGACUUGCAGAUCAGUUGGAUGAAGAGGGCACAGAAGAGAGAAAAUGCCCAGGUUUCUGGAUUAGGUAAGCAGGGGACACAGUGACAUUACCCACAGGAGGGAAAACGAAUGGGAAGCCGGUUUGUGGAGGAAGAGGAAGUGUCCAGUUUUCAACACGUCUGGUUUGAAGCGCCUUGGAGACAUCAAGAAGAGGUACCACAAGCACUGGGUAAUGCAUGUCGAGGCCAGGAGAGAGUGAGCAGCUUUCAGGGUGUAGCAGAAGCCAUGGAGUUGAAUGAAAUCACCCAGCAAGAUCGGACGGUGUGAGAAAUUAAGGCUGCAGACAGAGCCAGGAGGAAUUCCAGUCUCUCCAUGAUGUGAACACAGGAGGGGAAGACCAUGACACGGGCCAGGGAGCUGUGAGCAGGGAAGGAGCAGAAUUCCAGGAGAGGGCCUCCCAUGGGAGUCAGGGGAAGCCAGAAUGCCCCCUUAGGGAUGUCCCAGAGUGUCAAAUACGGUAGAAGAUGUUAAAUAGCAAAGACCAAAAACUGCCUGUUUGAAAUGGCCAUCCAGAGGUAACUAAAACUUAGUGACAGUAGUUUCGCCUGGGAAUAAAUUCCCUCUAAUACAUGUUUUUAAAUUCCUGAUAACCAUCUCCUUUUUCUAGCCCAGUUAUGGCCCAGUUUAAUGUUAUUAAGAGUUAAUUUCCUUUUUAUUUUCUGCCAAAUUGAACGGUGGUUAAAAUCAACGUAGCGUCUGUGAAACGGGGGUCAAUCCCGUCUAGGAACUAGACUCAGUUCUCGAUGACCGCUAAUGUUUGUUGAAAUCUUGAUGUCAGUUCUGAUUUUCUGCUCAGAGACAUGGCAGUGACCCUGAUUUCCUCUUUAACCGUGUCAUCCAGUGCCCAGCCCCUCAAACGAUCCAACAGCUUUCCCACUGCAAUGGCCCCAUGCCCUGGUCUUUGGCGGGGAGGCAGGAAACAAUAAGCAGUGAUUUCAUUUGUUUCUGCAAGUUACGGAAAAUGUCCUGUGUCCUUGCCGGGGGUCUUGUGUCAAGAGGUUGGGCCCUGUGAAGCAGUUCCCUUUCAACUGCUGUUGGCCAUCAGUGUAACACGUAAAAUGAACAAAAUCUCGAAAUGUUCACAUGCCACGCUGAGGAGUCUUAACGGGGAAAAAUUUAAAUCUGUACUUGUUCCUUCUUUAUAGCACAGCUCAAAUGGCCUCUAAAGAAUGAGAGGGAAUUAGCCCAAGUGUUGCACUCAGCAUGCACGGCCAGCAGAGAAAGGACCAGUAAUGAGUGUUUUGAGUACCAUGGAGACUUGAGUUCUGUAAGCUGGAGGAAGUAAGGUGUUAGGAUGAUAUUGUGAGUUCCUUGCUGGCUACCAGAAUCUUUCCUCCUGCCUUAAUUUUUUCUCAAAUCACUUCACUUUAUAUUGUUCCAAAAAGAAAGAAAAGUUAUCUCUUCAAAGAUGGUUUAAAGUGCAUUUAUUUAUUUCUGACAUGAACUGAGGAGAGGGGCCUGUGUUUUUACCUCCCACGUGUUUGCAGACACACUUGCACAGGCUGCAUUAUCCUGAAUCCAUGAGUGAGAUCUUAAGGGAGCUUAAGGCACAAAUGUUUGAGGACAAAUUUGUAACUUGAAUUAAAAGUCUCACGACUUUCUUCAAUUUUCUUUUUUAAGCUCCAGAAAAGUUAGUUUAAAAAUUAGUUGGGUAACUUUUAUUCUUAGAAUUUGAGAUCCCAGAAUUUUUAGAAAAAGGAAUAAGAAGAAGAAAAGUUUGCCGGGAGCUCAGUGCCCAGAGCCUGGAGCCUUCCUAACACAGGGGACAGGCUCCCCACUCCUGCACCGGACAACUCUGCAGUUUAUUCUAUCCACAGUCGAUUUUCAUCUGUUAGGAGAGGAACAAUUCCUUUUUAUCUCUGUCUUUUCUUGACUACUUCAAUGAGAUCAGCCCUCAAAUAGACCAUGGGGUUAGUGCUGGCCUGUAGUUUUUAUUCUUGAAUGGCACAGAUCUGACUUUCUAAUAUCUAAUAAGAUGUCUUUUCUUUUCUAUUAAAGCUUGUCUUUUGCCUUUCUGAUAAUUUAAAGGAAAAUUUCAAAUAUCGUAAGUCAUAGUAAUUCACGCAGAGCUUAAAGGACUCAUUCAAAUAGAAAACCUUUGCUGUAAAUGAUUUGAUGCAGGUCUGAGCAGAGUCUUGUCAGAAUCACUCUCAGAAAAGUCAGACCAACCUUUGGGAUUUUCAGACUUGAAGAAAAAUGCAAAAGUGGGUUUUAUCUUUUGCCUCCACGUGAACAUUUUCUGAGGUUGCUGUGUUUUUAAGCCGGAGCUGCAAAGAUUUUGAGGCCCUCUCAGGCAGGAUGUGCGGGCUCUCGAUAAAGCCUGCUGGAUCCUCCCUUCCGGUGAUGACAGCCCGGGUCCCAGCCUCCCAGAUCCGAGGAGAACAUGACCAUCGGGGCCACUCCUUCUUCGGGGCGUGCAGGGCAUGAGUGCUAACAGAAAUGUGUGUAGGUGAGGAGCAGAGGUCUGUAGAAUGAGCGAGCUUCAACCCCAGAGCUCACCCCGACACAAGGCUGUCAGAGCUGGAAUCGGGGCUGCGUUUCCAUCCUGCUCAGAAGCCUCGAACUGAAGCCAAGGGCCUGCGAGAACAACUUUUGGUCCAAAACCAUCGGGAGCUCGCUUCGGGAAACACAACAGCCCACUGCACGGAGCUGGAGGGGCACAGGCUGGGGACGUGAAGGCAAGAAGUGACAAAAAUGGACCCGUGAGAGGGCCGGGAUCCCACAUCAGAAAGGAUUCUGAGAGGUUUCUGGAAUAGUUUAUGCCUCGCUUCCCAUCAAAUUUGGAUUAGCCAUGGCAAAGGAGGAAAGAGAACAAAUAAAGGAAAUCCACAGAUAAUCCCCAAACCUCCAUUUGAGCUAAUAAUUUAAAUUCCUCCUAUGCCAAGUCAAGCCUUUUGUUUGUUUGUUUACCAGACUUGAUAAUGACAGACAAAAUAAACCGAUCCUACUUUAACCUCCUUUCUGCACACACACACAGAGAAAGGAAAGGGCUAAGAUAAUCCGCGAUUUGGGCAAAUCCGCGUGAGCCCACCUCACGCGGAAAGAGGACCACCGCUGGCGCCCCAGGGUCAGGAGCCGCGGGCAGCUGCCGGCCGCCCCGGUGGGCGUGGGGGCGGACACCCGGCCCGGAGCGGGGGCGGCGUGGGGAGCGCUCCGGUCGUCGCAGCCGAGGCGGUGUGAGAUGAGACCUGGCCAUGAAACCAACCCAGCCAGGAGCCCAGAGCAUGGCCUGGGUGAGGGGCGAGCCGAGGAGGGGAUGAGCUGAGCGCCUGAGCCACUGGGCAGCUGUAUCGUGGUGAGGCGGCUCGUCUUGCUCUUUCUCCCUUGGACACCCAUUAGAUUAAAGGCACGGGAUUGGGGAUAACAAACCAGCCCCUAACUCAGAGUCGGCUUGGCGGGGUCACUGCAGUCCCUGUGGUCUGAAGCUGUGGGCCCAACACCAGUGCACGGUGGCAGACAGCUCUCUUCCCGUUUCCAGACGUGAACCUCUCAGGGCCGCGACCCCAAGAAGCCUUCCUCCGUCAGCUGCCCACCACCACCAUCCCUCGUGAGAUAACUUGCUUUUUCUGACCCUCUCGGGUCAUUUUGCCUGGGGACGCUUCCCCAGGUCUGCAGGUCCUGGCUCGAGUCCAGCUGUGUCCCCAAGGAACUUGGUCACCUCAGGUAUGUCACUCUCUGCUCUCUUUGCCUUGUCUGUAAAAUGGGAAUAAAGUGAGCCCAGCUCAGUUCAGCUCACAGGGCUGAGGCCCGCUGGGCAAUUCAUCCUUUCUAAUCAACAAACUCGAAGAACCCAUCUUGGGGACUUUUCUCUUUCAUUUCUCUCUUUCUUCCUUUCUCUAUAUACAGUUUUCCUUUUUGGACUUAUCUCUGGCCAUCUGAACACUGAACCUUCUAGCGUUCUUCCUAUUGAUAUUCUGAUGGUUUUCAACUCUUUUCCAUUUGGUAAUAAUUUUUAAAAUGUGUUCUGGAAAAAAGUUUAAAAGAUGAAAUGAUAUAAACACAAAGAAACAGUGGACAAGAAAGUCUUUCAGAGACUAAGAAUAGUCUAUCAAUAUAAGUUGAUAAGUUAUUAUUAAAGAACUGGAAUCCUCUGUGGGCACAGGAGGUACAAAGGUCAAAUUGGGCCUCAAAUUCCAAGAGUUUCAAUAGGACUAAUUUCCAUACAAAUUCCUUCUAGAAAGUGGAAGUCCUGAACAGCACGGAAAGGACAUUUGUAACUCCCUCAAGUCCUUUUCCUCUUCAUGUCUGAACUGCUUCAGCCUAAGAAGGAGCCCCACCGGGCCUCUUGCUGGCUCUCCAUAAUUUCAGGCUCUUAACUCAGUGUUGCCUCUGUCUAUCUUCUGAAAAUGGACAAUUCCAGCCUGCUAGCUAACUGCUAAGCCCUUACAGAGUUCCUAGUUCAAAGGGUCAACUUCUCCUACUCUGUCGCUCUCACUCUGAGGACAGAAAAUGGGCCGGGCCCUUCCUCAGUGUUCCAGAUAAUCCUCCCCCGUCAGCCCAAGAGCCUGGAGAGGAGGCAGGAGGAAGACAGCAUGGCCCACUCCCCAAAGCUGCUGAGGCAGAGAACCAGCUCCUCCUUGGAGAAAGGAAGGGGCGUCUCGGGGGGCCCAGGCCCGUGAUGGCGCACAUCUCCUGUGUGUCACAGGCCCGUUAGUGUAAGGGCACCUCCUCCACUUGCUGUCUGUCAUUUCCCAGUAACCCUCUCAGAGCCCCACUCCUGGGCAAGGGGAUCAUGGCCUGAGGCCUGGAAUCCCCUGCUUGGGCUUCUCCUAAGGGACAGGCAAAUGCACCUGGUAGACACAGACAUGAGGGCCUGCUGAGUGGGCACGCGUCACUGAGAGUCAGGCGGACCCGCACAUGGAAUGACACCUGCACCUGGACGCGCUCAGCGCAGUGGCUCUCCCACGGGGAGUCCAGGCGGCUCUCAGGGAGCCAGGGCAGGCAGCCUGCCGGGGUUGCUUGUUGGUUUUGUUGUCUGCCUCCCUGCCCUGCUUCUCUUCUCUUUGUGUUAGGGCAUUAGGUGUGGCAUAUCCACAGGAUUAAAAUGCAGCUGUUAUUAGGACUGUCGCUCAGUUGUUUUGGAGAGACUCAGCCUGUGGACCUCGCUAGCGUGUCACUGCUCUUCCGUGUCGCCAGGAGACUCGAGCAGGCAAUCGCACGAACAGCGAUUCCUAAGGGAAUGUCUAGUCACGGAGAGAGGAUCUCCCGGUUUUAAAACAGAUCUUCAUGAUCUUCAAGGUAUUUGCCUGGCCUUGGCAGUUUGGUGUCCCUUGAAGGACUUUUUAUGAAACAUAAGACUCCGUCCACAUUAGGCAUUUGAAAUCUAACCAUUUUUUAAGUUGCAAAAGAGAUAUUCUUUUGCAGACCAUCUGUUAUUUAGUAAUGUGCAAAUUACCAAUAAAUAAUUCCAGAUUCUUUUCUGCAAGCCCAGCUAUAAACAAAUGCUCCACACGCCGAAAUGGAAGUCAUUUUCCCUUUGAAAACUCACUAAGUUCUGCACGAUUGGGAGAGACCGGGGGAGAAGCUUCCUCGCAGAUGCUAGUGAGCGUUAUUCCCGCACACAGAUCGUCUCAUGGAGCCAGACGUGACGUGGCCAGGAGUCUCUGCUGCUCGUGGACCCUCUCCCCCUGCUGCACAUUGUGCCACUAGCUCCCCCACGGUGCCCAUGUGGUCUGCAAACCCCUUAGGGCCGAGUUCUGUGGACAGGGCUUGUUUGUUCUUUGAGCCAGUUAAAACAUUGGCGAACUCUGAUUCCUUUCAUACGGAACAAUAGAAUAUCACAAAUAAAAAUUACAUUUGACUUGUUUAUUCCUAAGAAGUUGUUGGGAAACCAAAUUUCCUAAGUGCCUCUCAAGAAGCCGCUGCCAUUUCAUAGGACUCUCUGAUUUGUGUCCCUACGGAAAUGGUUCUCAAGGGAGGGUUUGUGGGAAGUUGGAGAAAUGCAGUAAGGAGGGAAGUCUCAGCUGAGCGGAUUGCGACUCUCGCCAGAGUUAACUGUUCAUUCUCCUGCAGCAAAACCAAACUCUCAGGCUCAGCAUUCAGGCAGAAUAGGACGUGGGGCAGGUUCUCCCCGACUGUGCCCCUGCUCCCUUCUGAGGGCUGCCUGUUGGAGCUCCAAUGCUCUUAUACUCUCAAGGUCGGUAAGACUAAAGACAAAUGCCUAGUGUUACCUUCUUUUCAGUAAGGACUUUUUAAAAAUAGAAACAGAGGCUCAUUUUAGAUAGCCCAGGUAAAUAUGAACUCCUCGAAAUUUAGAGAAGUUUGUCUUCUAGUAACGAUUAGAAGUUUGGCCAGAUGAACACUCCUACAGAUAACACUUACAGAAUCUACACAAAAUGCUGGGGGGGAAAAGUCACAAUUAAAAACCACUGGAGAGCUACCAAAAGCAGGCAGAAACUGAAGAAAAGUUGACCCUUGAAUGAUGAGAACUGAACUGGGUAAUGUGUUAGCUUUCCAUUGCUGCAUAAUAAAUCACCCAAAUCUAGUGGCUGAGAGCAAUACAAAUGUAUCAUUGCAUAGUUUCUGUAGUUGAGGCAUGUGAGGAUGGUGUUAGCUGGAUCCUCUGUUCAGGGUCUCUCCAGGCUGCAAUCAAGGUGACAGCCAGGGCUGCAAUCUUGUCUAAGGCCCCCGGUCCUCUUCCAGUGCUGGGGUGGUUAGCAGAAGUCAGUUGCUUGCAGCUGUACAACUGAAGUGCUCAGGUCCUAGAGGCUGCCCACUGUGCCCUGCCACAUGGCCCUCCACACAACAUGGAGGUUGCUUCUUCAAGGCCAUUAGGAGAGCACCUGCUGCUUCCUAUCUCUCUGACUUCUUUUGCAGGGUCACCUGAUUAGGUCAGACCCACCUGGGAAAAUCUCCCCUUUGAUUAAUUCACCGUCAACUGAAUAGGAAUCUUAAUUACAUCUGAAAAAUCCCCUUGUCUUUCCCAUAUAACUAACCUAGUCUUGAGAGUGAGAUCCCAUCAUAUUCACAACUCUCCCCCACACUCAGGGGGAGGAGAUUAUCCAAGGCAUGGGCACUGAGGAUGAGAAUCUUGGGGACCAUCUUAGAACUCUCUGCCUGCCACGGUCAGAUUUAAAGGUCUGGCUCUUUCUCCUGAUGGCACUCCCUAGUUUGCACUGCAAGGACAGAAAGUCUUAUAUAAGUUUAAGAAGUAGAAGUCAGUGUUCAGGUCUGACAAGAUAACUGUAAAAUUAGGAGGAAACUUCUGUGGAGAGAGUGAGCCCAUAAAUGUGCAUGGGAGACUUCAAGAGGCCUAGCAAACAAAGCAGCAGGAAGCAGAAAGAGCUGAGAGAUUUGGGCUGCUGGACACCACAGGAGCGAUAGCUUGGAGACCUGCUAGAACAAAAUUUGACACUUCUCAGAGGAACAUAACUAACUCCAGAAUCUCUACAUGUAUCACAAUAUUCAGUAUACAAUAAAAAUUUACUAGACAUACAAAGAAACAAAAAAUGUAACCCAUAGCCAAGAAAAAAGUGGAUAAAUAUUGACUCCAGGAUGACGUACAUGUGAAAUUAGCAAAGAGGGACUUGAGAACAGUUCUUAGAAAGUUGUUGAAGAACUUCACAGGAACAGUGCCACUGCUGCUCUCUUGUUUUUGUAUUGGCAUAUCUCCUUGCUUAUCCUUUCAUUUUAAAUUCCUCUUUGUCACUUUAUUUUAAGUGAUUUCUAAUUUUCAGCAUCUAGCUGGCUUUUAUUGUUUUAAUACAAUUUGGAAAUAUCUGGUUUGUAUUAGGAAAAUUUAGUCUUUUUAUGUUUAUUGUAAUAAUUUCCGUUCCUUACAUAUUAAAUUUAAAUACUAUUUCUCCUAGCUGAUCACUUCCUUUUUCUCCUAUUUUUGUUCAUAUGUUCAGGUUUCCUUUAUUGCCCCCUUGUCCUCCUGUUAGUGGUUAUUUUCUCUUCCCUGGUGUUCAUGAGCUUGACAACACCUGCACUGCCCCUCUCUUCUCUCUCCUCAACUCCUCACUCAUCCUCAGAUAAGAUACUUGUCUUCUUUUUUUACUUCCCUCUUUAUCCUCCCCAACAUCUAGGUUUUACAGAGAUAUAUGUUCCGGUAAACUUACCAACCCCUCUCCUCUUGCAGUGAUUCUCUGUUUUAAGUAUUCUUAUAUUGAAUUUAUAUUGCAUAUUCUUAGAAAGUUUAUCUUUAACUAUUAGAUUAUCUAUCUAGUCAUUUAUUUCAAGUUGCAUUGCUCAUUGCUUUUCUUCUCCUUUUCACUUCUCUCUUCUCUUUUUUAAAAUUUGUUCUUUGAUUAGAGUUCUUUAAAAAGUAUUUUCCUAAUAGGUUUACACAGGUCAUAUAUUCCUUGAGUCCUUGAAUAUUUGCUAAUAUUUUUCCUUCAGCCUGACCAAUGAAUGAGAUAUUUGGAAUACAGAUUCCUUUAAUUGCAGUGCUUAACUCUUUCUAGUCUGUAGAUAUUAUUCUACCAUUGUCCAGCAUCCAGUGCUAUGCAAGAAAAUCUCUAUUGCAGUUCUGAUUCUUUUUACUUUAUAAAUAAAUAAUUCUUUCUUUCUGGAAGUUUGUUAUAUUUUCUAUUUUUCCUCAGAGUAAGGUAUGUCUGGUGUAUCUUUUUCUCAUUCAGUCUGCCCGGGGCGCAGUGAGUAUGUGCAAUUUGCACUAAGUUAUAAUGCUUUAUUUAUAAUUACUGCAUCUAGGUUCGUAAAUGAAGUUAGCUUACAAUUUUCUUUUAUUUUGUGCUCCUUAUUGGGUGGUAGCAUCAAGAAACUAACUUUGUGGGGCCUGCCCAGUGGCACAGCCGUUAAGUUCACACAUUUCACUUCUCAGUGGCCUGGGGUUCCCUGGUUCGGAUCCCAGGUAUGGACAUGGCACCCCUGUGGUAGGUGUCUCACAUAUAAAGUAGAGGAAGAUGGGCAUGGAUGUGAGCUCAGGGUCAGUCUUCCUCAGCAAAAAGAGGAGGAUUGGCAGUAGUUAGCUCAGGGCUAAUCUUCCUCAAAAAAGAGAAAAAAAAACCGAAACUAACUUUGUGAAAUUAAUUUUCUCUUUUUUCUGGAGCAACAUAUCUUAGGUUUAUUU